rnacentral:rRNA from 1 species
GCAGCCGCCGCGGGAAUACAGAGGGUGCAAGCGUUAAUCGGAAUUACUGGGCGUAAAGCGCGCGUAGGUGGUUUGUUAAGUUGGAUGUGAAAUCCCCGGGCUCAACCUGGGAACUGCAUCCAAAACUGGCAAGCUAGAGUAUGGUAGAGGGUGGUGGAAUUUCCUGUGUAGCGGUGAAAUGCGUAGAUAUAGGAAGGAACACCAGUGGCGAAGGCGACCACCUGGACUGAUACUGACACUGAGGUGCGAAAGCGUGGGGAGCAAACAGGAUUAGAUACCCCCGUAGUCCCUGUCUCUUAUAC